rnacentral:misc_RNA from 1 species
GUGGGAAUCUAUGGAUUUUGGAGCUCUAAAUGAAGAAAAAUGGUGGAAGGAGAGAUGGAGGGAGGUUUGGCCAACAUAGAUUAGAAGAAGAAGAUGAAAUUCUAUGAUAAGAAUGUAUUUAUUAAAUUUGUCUUAUAUAUAUGUGUGUGUCUAAAUUUUAUUUGUUUUAGUUUUAAUUCUAAUUAAUAUAAUUAUAACAUUUU